AGAGAUAGGUAGUUGUUAAGGUAAUGGCUUAACUAGCCCAAAAUUCUCUUAGUCGAAACUGAAAUGGUUGAUCGACCACAUUGGGGCUGAAAAAAACCCAAUACAAGUGAGUACAGCAGUGGGGAAUAUUGGUCAAUGGCCUAACGGCUGAACUGGCAACUUGGAGGAAUGGCCUAUCUUAUUAAGUAAAUAGUAAGAAUUAGAGUGAAAUGAUGGUUAAAUCGAUUAUCGAAUAAAAUUCUAAAUAUAUAAAUUAUAAUGACUAUAUAUAUUUAUGUCUUGACUAAUUACGUGCCAGCAGUCGCGGUAAUACGUAAGAGACUAGUGUUACUCAUUUUUAAUAGGUUUAAAGGGUACCCAGACGGAAGAAAUUUGCCUGGAAAGGAACAAUUUCUAUCUAGAGUUUAAUAUAAGAAGGUCGUACUUGUGGAAUAGAGAUGAAAUACUUUUAUACCUAAUAAGGGACUGGUAAAGGCGAAAGCAACCUUUUAUGUAAAAACUGACGUUGAAGGACGAAGGCUUAGAACACGAAUAGGAUUAGAUACCCUAGUAGUCUUAGCAGAAAAUGAUGAAUGUCAUAGGUUAGGUUAUACUUAGUCUAUAAAUGAAAAUGUAAGCAUUUCACCUCAAGAGUAACGUGGCAACACGGAAACUGAAAUCACUAGACCGUUUCUGACAUCAGUAGUGAAGUAUGUUAUUUAAUUCGAUGAUCCACGAAAAACCUUACCACAAUUAGAAUUGUAUUUAUGUUAUUUAUAUUAUAAAUAUAACGAGUGUUGCACGGCUGUUUCCAGUUAAUGUUGUGAAACUAUGGCUUCGGCCAUGAAAUUAACGAAAACCCUUGCUUUAUUUAUAAAUAUUUUUUAAUAAAGCUGCUUUUAUCAUCAUACCGAUAAAAUAGUAGGGCCAAAGACAAGUCAUCAUGGCCUUUAUAUUGUGGGCUAUAGACGUGCCACAUAUUCCUAGACAAAGAGAUGCGAAAAUGCGAAUUUAAGCUAAUCUCAAAAAAUAGGAUAAAAUAGGAUAAGGAUUGUAGUCUGAAACUCGACUACAUGAAUAAGUAAUUACUAGUAAUCGUGAAUCACCAUGUCACGGUGAAUAAUAUCUCGGAUUGGUACUAACCACUCG
rnacentral:rRNA from 1 species